rnacentral:rRNA from 1 species
GACGAACGCUGGCGGCGUGCUUAACACAUGCAAGUCGAACGGAAAGGCCCUGCUUUUGUGGGGUGCUCGAGUGGCGAACGGGUGAGUAACACGUGAGUAACCUGCCCUUGACUUUGGGAUAACUUCAGGAAACUGGGGCUAAUACCGGAUAGGAGCUCCUGCUCCAUGGUGGGGGUUGGAAAGUUUCGGCGGUUGGGGCUGGACUCGCGGCUUAUCGGUUUGUUGGUGGGGUAGUGGCUUACCAAGGCUUUGACGGGUAGCCGGCCUGAGAGGGUGACCGGCCACAUUGGGACUGAGGUACGGCCCAGACUCGUACGGGAGACAGCAGUGGGAAAUAUUGCACAAUGGGCGGAAGCCUGAUGCGGCAGCGCCGCGUGCGGGAUGACGGCCUUCGGGUUGUGAACCGCUUUCGCCUGUGACGAAGCGUGAGUGACGGUAAUGGGUGAAGAAGCACCGGCUAACUACGUG